UAAAAGGAGUGGGUGAUAGUAUCUAGGAGGAGGAGUUGAGGAUAAUAUCUAGGAGGAGAUGAGGUAAUAUGUAGGAGGAGGAUAAUAUCUAGGAGGAGAGGAGGAUAAUAUCUAGGAAGAGGAUAAUAUAUAGGAGGAGAGGAGGAUAAUAUCUAGGAGGAGGAUAAUAUCUAGGAGGACGAUAAUAUAUAGGAGUAGGAUAAUAUCUAGGAGGAGAGGAGGAUAAUAUCUAGGAGGAGGAUAAUAUCUAGGAGGAGGAUAAUAUCUAGGAGGAUGAUAAUAUCUAGGAGGAGGAUAAUAUCUAGGAGGAGUGGGUGAUAGUAUCUAGGAAGAGGAGUUGAGGAUAAUAUCUAGGAGGAGAUGAGGAUAAUAUCUAGGAGGAGGAUAAUAUCUAGGAGGAUGAUAAUAUCUAGGAGGAGGAUAAUAUCUAGGAGGAGUGGGUGAUAGUAUCUAGGAGGAGGAGAGGAUAAUAUCUAGGAGGAGAGGAGGAUAAUAUCUAG
rnacentral:lncRNA from 1 species